rnacentral:lncRNA from 1 species
CGCUCUUUCAGAAGUUUCUGAAUAACGCACUGGCUUGAACCACUGGAAAGAAACAAAUAAAUGAGCUGGCAACUUUCACAGGGAGGAGCCUUGAAGCCCAGUUCCCAAGACCACGCCAACCAGCUCGGUGUGACAGCAUGCAGGAAUGAAAAUAGACUGAAUUCUUCAGGGGUAAAAUUCAUUUUGGAAGCCCUAA